rnacentral:rRNA from 1 species
GACGAACGCUGGCGGCGUGCUUAACACAUGCAAGUCGAGCGGAGCGGCGGACGGGUGAGUAAUGCCUAGGAAUCUGACUGGUAGUGGGGGAUAACGUCCGGAAACGGGCGCUAAUACCGCAUACUAUCAGAUGAGCCUAGGUCGGAUUAGAUAGUUGGUGGGGUAAAGGCCUACCAAGGCGACGAUCCGUAACUGGUCUGAGAGGCUGAGCAGUCACACUGUGACUGAGACACGGUCCAGACUCCUCCGGGAGGCAGCAGUGGUGAAUAUUUGACAAUUGGCGAAAGCCUUAUCCAGCCCUGCCGCGUGUUUGAAGAAGGUCUUCGGAUUGUAAAGCACUUUAAGUUGGGAGGCGUUACCAACAGAAUAAGCACCGGCUAACUUCGUGCCAGCAGCCGCGGUAAUAC